rnacentral:rRNA from 1 species
AUUGAACGCUGGCGGCAGGCCUAACACAUGCAAGUCGAACGAGUGGCGGACGGGUGAGUAAUGUCUGGGAAACUGCCUGAUGGAGGGGGAUAACUACUGGAAACGGUAGCUAAUACCGCAUACCCUCAGAUGUGCCCAGAUGGGAUUAGCUUGUUGGUGGGGUACCGGCUCACCAAGGCGACGAUCCCUAGCUGGUCUGAGAGUAUGACCAGCCACACGGGAACGGAGACACGGUCCAGACUCCAACGGUAGGCACAAGUGGGGAAUAUUGGACAAUGGGGGCAAGCCUGAUGCAGCCAUGCGGGGUGUAGGAAGAAGGCCUUCGGGUUGUAAAGUACUUUCAGCGGGGAGGCGUUACCCGCAGAAGAAGCACCGGCUAACUCCGUGCCAGCCGCCGCGGUAAUAC